rnacentral:lncRNA from 1 species
ACCAUGUCGACAUCUAGAAGAAUAUUGCUAGGCUUCAGAUCACAAUGCACAAUUGUUGUCUCGGUCUGUGUGUGAAGAUAAUCAAGCGCGGUUGCAACAUCGAUCGCUAUGUUUAGUCUCUGCACCAAACUCAAACCAUCAUCUUGAGGUUCUACUUUCUUGAGCCAUCUGUCUAAGCUUCCAUUUGGCAUAUAUUCGUAAACCAAUGCCUUGAAUUCAUUUUGAUUCAGAUCCUCAGAUGAACAUACCGUUAACACUCUGAGAAGAUUUCGAUGCCGAACAUUUCUUAAAAUUUUGCAUUCGGCCAUGAAACUCUUGGAUAUUGUACGAAAUUUCUCGUCCAAUACCUACAAAUAAUUAGUGAUUUCUAUGAUAUUCAAAUCCAAGUAUUCAAUGAAAUCUAAGAGAUGGAAUAUAAGCUACCUUCACAGCAACAUCUAUCGUGCUUCUUGAUUGAUCAUUUAUAGUCAUUAUUCCUUUGUAAACACUGCCAAAUCCCCCAGAUCCGAUCAAAUUUUCAGGAGAGAACUUUCUAGUAGCCUUUUGGAUCUCAGCAUACGAGAUUUGGAUGAACUGAUUUUCCAUCCACGAGUCUCUAUCGGGUAUAGGUGACAUAUCCGUCCUUGUUCUAUCAUUCCUCAUUGGUGACAUCUUGUACUUAUAAACUAGAAAUACACUGAUGAAGGAUGAAACUGCGACUACAACCACUGUGAUAAUGACGGCGAUGUUUCUUUUAGAUAGUUGUCGAUGAUGUUGAUGAUCUGUGAACAAUUUUUCAUUUCCUUCAAUGGAAAAUAAACUGGCAUUGUUGAAAAUACCUUGGGUCGGCACUUUGCCUUCAAGAUCAUUAUUGGAAAGAUUGACAUACUGAAGCAAAGUCAUCUUCUCCAAGUAGGAAGGAAUCUUACCGGAAAGAUGAUUCUCCGAAAGAUCGAGAAAAUGAAGAACUUUAAGAUUCUGAAGCUGAUCUGGUAUUGUUCCGUUAAAAUUAUUUCCUUGAAGUUCGAGUGAUUCAAGCAUCACACAAUUUUCGAUACUCUUUGGAAUUUCACCAUGGAAUCUAUUGUGAGAUGCAUCAAAUCUCAUAACAUUUCUUAAGCUUUCAAACUCAUCUGGAAGAACUCCGAUGAGAUUAUUGUGUGAAAUACGAAGAAAUUUUGCAAUUGUCGGUAUCCUGAAGAGACCUUUGGGUACAACUCCACUUAGAUUAUUGUUUGAAAGAUCCAAGGCUAAUAAUUUUUUCAUGGCGCCUAAAUUUGAAGGUAUGGUUCCUGAUAGCUCAUUCCCACCCAUGUAGAGUUCGAGCAGCUCGGUAAGAUUUUCGAAGGAAUCUGGGAUUGUUCCAGAGAGCUUGUUUUUGGCAAUAGCAAAAAUUUUUAGAUUCUUAAGUUUUCCUAUGCUCUCUGGAAUGGAUCCAGUGAAUUGAUUAAUCUCCAUGUUCAAUGUGGCUAGACUACUCAGCUGUCCUAUCAUUGCUGGAAUUUCUCCCUUGAUAUUGUUAUUCCCCAGAGUCAACGACUCCAACGACAUUGCCGAUAGCUUCGUUAUUGAUUCCGGUAGGAACCCAGUGAAAUUGUUAUUCCACAGAUCAACACUUUUCAGGUAAGAGCAGUUGGUUAAAGAAUCGAUAAAUCUCCAAUCAUCAGUUGAAAAUAGAUUGCUGUCCAAAAGCAACUUAGAGAGAUUAGGAAGACGACUUCCAAGAUUUGAUGGAAUUGAACCAGUGAACAUAUUGCCGCUGAGCUCUAUAUCCUCCAAUUUUGACAUAUAAGAUAGAGAUAUUGGAAUUUCUCCGUUGAACUUGUUGAGGUAUAAUAAAAGAUGACGAAGUUGAGGAAGGUUCUGCCCGAAAUCAGGAGGAAGUGUUCCAGUGAGAUGAUUACCUCCGACACCAAACAUGUAAAGAGACGAGAAGUUGAAAAGAGAUAGAGGAAUUUGACCAGAUAAACGAUUAGAAAGAAGAUCGAGAAUUUCUAGAUUGGUGCAGUAACUUAUCUGGGAUGGAAUGUGGCCAACCAGGUUGUUUUGUGAGAGGUAAAGUUUGCGAAGAGUGGUAAUGUUGCCGAUGGAUGGUGGAAUUUCUCCGGUGAGGUUGGUUGUUUCUAAAUCCAAGUAUUUCAGAUUUUGGAGCGAGCCCAAUUCUGAUGGGAUGCUGCUGGUUAAGUUAUUGUUCCAAAGAAUCAGCGACUGCAAUUUGGUUCCCCCAGUGAAGUUUCUGGGAAUCUCACCAUGGAUCUUGUUGUGACUAAGUGUAAGGAGUUGGAGUUCCGGCAAGUUCGUAAAGAGAGCCUCAGGGAUUGUUCCUUGGAGGAAAUUUGAGGUGAGAUUUAUGGUUCUGAGACGACGUAGGUUGGCAAUCUCCGAGGGAAUAUGACCGUGUAGAUUGUUGUGUCCAAGGUUUAUCUCACGAAGGAAUGAGAGGUUGGAGAUACAAGGUGAGAUUUUACCGGUGAGGCCGAAUGAUGGCAGCACUAAAGAUGUCACCCGGUUCGGAUGGAGAGGAGCAUCACAGUUGACGCCGAACCAGUGGCAGGUUUCAGUGGAUUCGUUCCAUGAAGUGAAGAUGUAAGCUUUGUCUUUGGCAGUGGUGAUGUAGGAUUUGAAUGAAAGAAGCCCAGCACGGUCGACACCAUUUGUUUUUCCUGUCACAAUAUCUCCUAGGAUUAUAAGAAGCUGAAUAGAUAAUAAGAACCUCAUUCGUUCGAGCUUGCAGUGAGUGAUUUGGAGAGUAAGUUUGUAUUUCCGAUGUGUGAUGGACAUGUUUUUAAACUAGAUUCCCUUCAGAACUUCAGGAUUCAACAUUUUGAAAAAUAUUGAUGUACUACAUCCGUGAUGUGAUGUGAUGUGGUGUUAGUGGUGAUGCACUAAAAAAUCACAAGUGGUGACGUGGAAAAGAGGAUAACUUAGUCAACAAAGAAACAAGUGUUUCGUCCGUGAGUAUCAUUGUCGGUUACACAUUGCUUUGUUAAAUUCCAACAAUAGCACCACUUACGCGUUAUGAGUUAAAAUCUACAACACAAUAGAACUCAUACGUUAGUCGUUACAGACUUACUGUAGUUAAAUAAGCAAAAAGUAAUUAAAAUAAAAUGUUAAAAAAUAUGAGUUAGAAAUUAGAAUGUACGUAUGGAAUUAUGAAUGUAUGAUUAGAUAAGUUUACACGAUUCGAUUAGUCCAAUCGGUCAUAUACUCACACAAGUCGGUCAAAAGUCGGUCAAUUAAUUCUCUGUUUUUUAUUAGUAUAAAGAAGUAUUUAAUAACUAAUAGUCUAGUUAUGGUGAAAAUUAGGAUUUUAAGGUGAACAAAAUUGGAAAUGAAAAUUACAUUUAGUUGAAUUGGUUUGGAACUUUAGAUUAAUAUCUUAUUAAUUACAAUUUGGAAAAUUACAUUACACGUUUUCUUCAAUUUCGACAUUGUCUUAUUAAUAUCUCUUUAUUAAUAUAGCAUUCCUGAUAUCUUCUAACUGCUUGAUGGCAUCUUUCAAUAGCAUUCUUUCAUUUUGUGAAUCCAUGGAGCAAUUCAGACCAACCCUUAUAAUUGAUACCAAGAUAUCGUAGAUUCUUCUUUUUCCCAAUCCAUCUUCUUCUUCUUGUCGUUGCAAUAGAUAUGGAUCUGCUACCUUUAAGAUUCCGUAAGGAAAAUGUUUCUCUACGUAUUGAUGGAGAGUCGUUCCUUCACCGAAAUCUUUGCUAGUCGGACUUUUACAUGUGAAAAUCUCUAACACAAGUAUUCCGUAGCUGUAAACAUCCCAUAGCGUGGACAAUCUUCUACCCAUUCCGCAUUCUGCAUCACAGUUCAUUUAGAAUUGUUUAGCGAUUAAUCUCUGCCGGAUUGACUAUAUUUAGCACAGGAUGAUUACCCGGGGCGAUGUAUCCAAUGGAGCCUUGGAUGGCAGUGGUUAACGUUUGAUCUUGAUCCGUCGAGAGGAAUUUUGCUAUUCCAAAGUCACUGACACGAGCAACCAUGUCGACAUCUAGAAGAAUAUUGCUAGGCUUCAGAUCACAAUGCACAAUUGUUGUCUCGGUCUGUGUGUGAAGAUAAUCAAGCACGGUUGCAACAUCAAUCGCUAUGUUUAGUCUCUGCACCAAACUCAACCCAUCAUCUUGAGGUUCUUCCUCUUUCUUGAGCCAUCUGUCUAAGCUUCCAUUUGGCAUAUAUUCGUAAACCAAUGCCUUGAAUUCAUUUUGAUUUGGAUCCUCAGAUGAACAUACCGUUAACACUCUGAGAAGAUUUCGAUGGCGGACAUUUCUUAAAAUU